CAUUUAGUCAUCUGAUAUUGGCUGCCUCUUCAAUCUAAUGAGAGUGAGAUGUUAACAUCCGGCAAAGCAUCAAAAGGAUACAGAUUCGAGUUUUGCGGGUGAGCACGUCUUCUGUUUCCAAAACACUUUUGUAUGAAUCGUAGGCAUUGACUGGGGUUGUUAAUGUGCACACAAGGCCAUUGCAAAAGAGGAAAUAGUUACUGCUGUAUUUCUGCAUGUAUUUAGUAGCUGAGAUUUGUAUUGGUUUCACGUGUAAUUUAAGAUCAAGGAGUCAGUGUUUGUAUUGCAUUUGAAGUUUUGUUUAUUGGAUUUUGGUGACAAAUCUGCCACAGAAUUGGGUCAGACUUAAACUAUAUUGUUUGUGUUUUGUAACUGAGUAAUGUCUUUAAUUUUAUAUUAAGGAUAAUAGUGAAAUGCGUGUUUCCAUGUGCUAUACUUUAUACACGAUCCUAUUAUAUAAAUAAGGCCAUAUUUCUGUGUUUCCAUGUUCUAUGUACAAGGUUUCUCUGUUUCUCUGGAAAGAAGGGCACUGCUUUUCAACAAAUUAUGGUAGCGUGUGAUUUAUUCCUGCCAUAAAUCAGUGAUGUGAAACUGAAAAAGAUGCACUCAAGAUUAUAGCAGACAUGGUGGGUGGGCAUUUAAAACAAUUCCCGAUGAUGAUAUGUCAGGAAAAUAUGUGAAAACCCCCAAAAUUGAUUUGCAAUUAUUUAAUUUUACUGUUGGGCAACGCCAAAGUGAAACAAUUAUUUUUGACUGGUUGGCAGAUGUCAAACUCUCUUUAACCAAUAAUAACAGUUUAUAACUCGUAGUUAACUUUUACAAAGUUGCCUUCUUUGCUAGAACAUUCUUGGGUGAUCCUCUAAAGCAAUACAACUGCUGUUAAUUAAAGAAAAACUUCCUUGAAAUACUCUACAGCUCAAAUAGUAUCAAUAGAGAAAAAUGGUUUCUAGUGAUUUUUUUAAAAUUGCUGUGAGGCACAAAAUCUCCCUUGGGAUGAGUUCUCUCCCAGACUACACAGUAUAAACACAACCCAUUUCCUAUGUUAGCAUAACAGAAAAAAAAUGUAUGCUGUUUCAUUUAUUUGGCAAAAUUCAAUUAAGAGAUAUUGAACAAGGAAAGUAUAUUGGUCAGAAUGGUUACAUUUUUAGAGGCUGUCAAAGUGGAAAUGAAGAGGUGAAGUUUGAGGCUUCGACUUAAAACUUACAUGGAAUGCAGAAACGCUGAUAUAAAUGAGAAUCCCAAAUUUGAAAGCAGUUGACUAUUGACUAUUCUAUGCCUGCAGAGUGUUGUAGAAAUGGGGAACAACCAGGCCAUCUAGAUGUAGGAAGAGGUUUAAAUUAGAGGCAUUAAGAACUAUAAAAGAAUAUUGAUUAGCGAUUGUGUGGUUGAUAUGUACACAAGACCUAUUUGGAUGCAGAGUUUUUGAGCUGAAGUUAAUGCACUGUGGGCAGUGAACAGUGAGCAUAUACUGUAAGCUUAAUCGCAAGGUGUAAGAAUACAUGAGAGUGCUUCCAAACUAGUGUGUGUUGUUCCAAAAAUGAAAAUAAAUGGUUUUGAAAAUGGUGCCGUGACCUAGUUUCAAUAAAGUGAGUCGAGAAUAGAUUCAUCAGGUUCACUAGAAGUAAUGAUAAGUGUAUGAUUGAGGAUGGGGUGAAGAAACAAUAUUUGAAGUUUUAAAGAUGCAGCAAAACAGACCCUUCGUCCUACUGAAUUCAUGCUGACGUUCACCCAUUCACACAAGUUCUGUUAUCCCACUUUCGCAUCCACUCCCUACACACCAUGGGUAAUUUACAGAGGCCAAUUAACCUACAAUCCCGCUCAUCUUUGGGAUGUGGGAUCCACGUUGUUGCAGAGAGAUCGUGCAAACUCCACAGAGACAUCACCUGAGGUCAGGAUCAAAUCCAAGACUGGUGCUUUGGGGCAGUAGCUCUAUCCGCUGUGCCAUUGUGCCACCCCAAAUAUUGAAAGGGAACUUGUUCCAUCCAGUUAAUCUUCUAUAGGUACCAUGUGAGGAUAUCGAACGGAAAGACUUUGGGGUAAAAAUACAUGAUAUUGUCAGUGGUAGCAUAUUUGAAAGAGGCAAUAUAUGACAGAGAAUAUAAUUUCUAUCUUGGGACAAUUUCUGUGCUUGUUUGAGGCAUUUUGGAGAAGCAAAGUUGAGAUGGUUGUAGGGACAAUAUGCCAAGGUUGGAUAAUUUUUAGAAGGUAACCAUUACAAUGCUAGGUAGCAAGAGGUCAGGCGAUCAAACACACAAAAGAUCAAUCUGAAUAACAAGGAAAUCCAUUAAAUGGCUGUAUCUUGCUGGUGUUGAUGGUGGAUGCCUUGGGGAGGAAUAUUUGUCGGUCAUUUGAUGAAGUUUAAGUUCUUUUUCUGCAAUUAAGAAAUACUGCUUUAGAUAGUAAAGGAUAGUUAAUGCAUCAGAUAUGCCCAAGCCUUUGCACCUGGGCCAAAAUGAAAACUUGCCACAUGGAAUGGUCAAUUCAGGAAAUAAUAAAUCCAUUUCUGGGGACAGGUGCCACAACCAGUCAUGAAAUAGAUGGGCAAAGAGCAGAACAACCCUGAAACUUGGCUGAAAAUUAAAUUAGAAGUUUGAUCGUGGUUGCUUAAAUUACAUGCGUUUAUUCCAAUGUCAUAUGAAUAAGCAGGGGGCUGAUGAAGUAAAAUACAGUGGGAAGAGAGGCCAUGUUAAAGAUUAAGGAGACUGGGAGUAAAGGCAAGGACAUGAAGGGAGUGGCCAUGAAUUAAGAAAUCAUAACAGGCUCAUAUCACUAUCUUAUGUUCCAAGAUCGCAUUUAAAUAAUUCAAAGAUAAAGAGCAUUAUUUUCAUUUAAUUUCCAUCUUUUGUUUCUGGAUUAUUUAGAUGUGAUGAAAGGACAAUGGCAUGAAAUCCUCCUUUGAUGAGUUAAAGUUUGUGAUGCAACGUAAAUGCAGUUCAGCACUCAGGAAGGGCUGGGUGGAAUGCAUUGCCAUGCCCUGUGAUUCUUCUGAAUGUGUUACCAGCAAUUGCUACAUUGAAAGAAGCACAGGAAAUGGAGCCCUUGUCAAUUUGAAGGGAGCCCAGUGCAUUUAAAAGGAGCGUGGGAAAGUGCCCCAGCAAGUUGAAAAGCUGUGUGGGAAAGACCCAGUGAAUUUCAAUAAGCAAGUGGUUUGAAGAAAGAGUGUAUUAAAAUUUCCAUCAGGAGAUGCAAAUUUUCCGUGUUGUAUCUCCGUCUGCACUGCGCCCUAACAUCGUGGAGUUGGCGGCCUCUUGUUUGGGACUUCUGGAGCUCCAAAACCCCGGAGUCUGCAGAUUUUAAAUCUUGGAGCGGGCAAUCCCUUUGCCAAGGGUCGGCCUUUGGUGCUCCAACCUGCAGGAGCUGUGGACUUUAACAUCGUCAAGCUCGUGGUUCCUGGUUAGGGACCGACUUCGGGGACUCCAAGCUGCAGGAGUUUCAACUUCCCCGACGUGGGAGUUCGAUCGCCGGCUGCGGAUGGUUUGACUCCCCCGACCGCAGGAGGAAAGAAGAUAAGACUUUAUUGCCUUCCAUCACAGUGGGGAAUGUGGGGGAGCCGCUGUGGUGGAUGCUUAUGUCGAAUUUUUAUGUAGUUGUGUCUUGUUGCUUUUUUGGUAUGACUGUAUGGCAAACCAAAUUCCUCGUAUGUUGCAAAACAUACUUGAUUAAUAAAUUACGAUUAUGAUU